rnacentral:rRNA from 1 species
CGACAGCAAUAUGAAGGUCAGGCUGAAGACCUUACCCGAUUAGCUGAGAGGUGGUGCAUGGCCGUCGUCAGUUCGUACUGUGAAGCAUCCUGUUAAGUCAGGCAACGAGCGAGACCCACGUCCACAGUUGCCAGCAUACCCUCCGGGGUGAUGGGUACACUGUGGAGACCGCCGCUGCUAAAGCGGAGGAAGGAGUGGGCAACGGUAGGUCAGUAUGCCCCGAAUCUCCCGGGCUACACGCGGGCUACAAUGGUUGGUACAAUGGGCAUCUACCCCGAAAGGGGAAGGAAAUCUCUUAAAGCCAAUCGUAGUUCGGAUUGAGGGCUGCAACUCGCCCUCAUAAAGCUGGAAUCCGUAGUAAUCGCGUUUCAACAGAACGCGGUGAAUACGUCCCUGCUCCUU